rnacentral:rRNA from 1 species
AAUGAGGAUUUAAAUGGCCGCAGUAUUUUGACUGUGCAAAGGUAGCAUAAUCAUUAGUUUCUUAAUUAGUAACUGGAAUGAAAGGUUGGACGAGAAAAUAACUGUCUCUUUAUAAAUUAUUUAGAAUUUUAUUUUUAAGUUAAAAAGCUUAAAUUUAUUUAAAAGACGAGAAGACCCUAUAGAGUUUAAUUAAUUUAUUAAUAAAAUCUUAUUUUGAAUUUAUAAAUUUUUAUUAAUAAAUUAAUUUAAUUGGGGUGAUUGAAAAAUUUAUUUAACUUUUUUUUUAUAGCAACAUUAAUUUAUGAAUAUUUGAUCCAUUAUUAUGAUUAUAAGAUUAAAUUACCUUAGGGAUAACAGCGUAAUUUCUUUUUAGAGUUCUAAUCGAUAAAGAAGUUUGCGACCUCGAUGUUGGAUUAAAAUUAAUUUUUGGUGUAGUAGCUAAAAUAUUAGGUCUGUUCGACCUUUAAAAUUUUACAUGAUCUGAGUUUAAACCGGUGUGAGCCAGGUUGGUUUCUAUCUUUAAAUAUAUUUAAUAUUUUAGUACGAAAGGACCAGAUAUUAUAAAUAAUUUUAUUUAUAAUGAAUAUUAUUAAUUA